rnacentral:rRNA from 1 species
ACGUGGGUGAUCUGCCCUGCACUUCGGGAUAAGCCCGGGAAACUGGGUCUAAUACCGGAUAGUACUGCGCGGUGCAUGCCGUGCGGUGGAAAGAUUUAUCGGUGCAGGAUGGGCCCGCGGCCUAUCAGCUUGUUGGUGGGGUAAUGGCCUACCAAGGCGACGACGGGUAGCCGGCCUGAGAGGGCGACCGGCCACACUGGGACUGAGACACGGCCCAGACUCCUACGGGAGGCAGCAGUGGGGAAUAUUGCACAAUGGGCGCAAGCCUGAUGCAGCGACGCCGCGUGAGGGAUGACGGCC